rnacentral:rRNA from 1 species
UACGUAGGUGGCAAGCGUUGUCCGGAUUUACUGGGCGUAAAGAGCGCGCAGGCGGUCGUUCAAGUCGCGUGUGAAAGCCCCCGGCUCAACUGGGGAGGGUCACGCGAUACUGAUCGACUCGAAGGCAGGAGAGGGUAGUGGAAUUCCCGGUGUAGUGGUGAAAUGCGUAGAUAUCGGGAGGAACACCAGUGGCGAAGGCGAUCUUCUGGACGGAUACUGACGCUGAGGCGCGAAAGCUAGGGGAGCAAACGGG